GAUGAACGCUGGCGGCGUGCCUAAUACAUGCAAGUCGAACGAAUCUUCUUCGGAAGAUGAGUGGCGAACGGGUGAGUAAUACAUAGGUAACCUGCCCCUGUGCGGGGGAUAACAGGAGGAAACUCCUGCUAUACCGCAUAGCCAUGAGCACCGCAUGGAGCUCAUGCCAAAUAUCCUUUCGGGGAUAGCGCAGGGAUGGACCUAUGGCGCAUUAGCUGGUUGGCGGGGCAACGGCCCACCAAGGCAACGAUGCGUAGCCGGCCUGAGAGGGCGGACGGCCAGAUUGGGGCUGAGACACGGCCCAGACUCCUACGGGAGGCAGCAGUAGGGAAUUUUCGGCAAUGGGGGCAACCCUGACCGAGCAACGCCGCGUGAGCGAAGAAGGCCUUCGGGUCGUAAAGCUCUGUUGUAAAGGAAGAACGGCGCAUACAGGAAAUGGUAUGCGAGUGACGGUACUUUACCAGAAAGCCACGGCUAACUACGUGCCAGCCGCCGCGGUAAGAC
rnacentral:rRNA from 1 species